ACGGUUAUAAAUCAACAUAUUGAUUUAUAAGCAUGGAAAUCCCCUGAGUGAAACAACGAAUUGCUGUGUGUAGUCUUUG
rnacentral:antisense_RNA from 1 species